GAGUUUGAUCAUGGCUCAGGAUGAACGCUGGCGGCGUGCUUAACACAUGCAAGUCGAACGAAGAAGACAGAAAGCUUGCUUUUUGUUUUCUGAGUGGCGGACGGGUGAGUAACGUGUGGGCAACCUAUCCUAAACAGGGGAAUAAUCAUUGGAAACGAUGACUAAUACCGCGUAAUGUCGCCGAAAGGCAUCUUUUGGCGAAGAGAGGAGCAAUCCGGUUUUGGAGGGGCCCGCAUUUGAUUAGCUAGUUGGUGAGAUAACAGCCCACCAAGGCAACGAUCAGUAGCCGACCUGAGAGGGUGAUCGGCCACAUUGGGACUGAGACACGGCCCAAACUCCUACGGGAGGCAGCAGUGGGGAAUUUUGGACAAUGGGGGCAACCCUGAUCCAGCCAUGCCGCGUGAGUGAAGAAGGCCUGG
rnacentral:rRNA from 1 species